AACAAGGUCUCCGUUGGUGAACCAGCGGAGGGAUCAUUACCGAGUUUACAACUCCCAAACCCCUGUGAACAUACCUAUACGUUGCCUCGGCGGAUCAGCCCGCGCCCUGUAAAAAGGGACGGCCCGCCCGAGGACCCUAAACUCUGUUUUUAGUGGAACUUCUGAGUAAAACAAACAAAUAAAUCAAAACUUUCAACAACGGAUCUCUUGGUUCUGGCAUCGAUGAAGAACGCAGCAAAAUGCGAUAAGUAAUGUGAAUUGCAGAAUUCAGUGAAUCAUCGAAUCUUUGAACGCACAUUGCGCCCGCCAGUAUUCUGGCGGGCAUGCCUGUUCGAGCGUCAUUUCAACCCUCAAGCUCAGCUUGGUGUUGGGACUCGCGGUAACCCGCGUUCCCCAAAUCGAUUGGCGGUCACGUCGAGCUUCCAUAGCGUAGUAAUCAUACACCUCGUUACUGGUAAUCGUCGCGGCCACGCCGUAAAACCCCAACUUCUGAAUGUUGACCUCGGAUCAGGUAGGAAUACCCGCUGAACUUAAGCAUAUCAAUA
rnacentral:rRNA from 1 species